AGCCGAGGAUGAGGCUGUAAUCCCUGUACAGGCUGGGACCCAAAAAGAUUAUGGCCAAGGGAGAAAACGAAAAGUAUCGUCAAAGUUGCUGGAUGCCUGGAAUUCAGGACAACAUCUUAAAGGAAAAAGGAUGAGAAGGCAAACCCGGCGAUAAUUUUUAAUAUAUCAAUAAAGUCAAUGAAUAAAAAGUCUUAAUUCGUUAUUCAGAUUGUGACUCGAUUACUCACUUUUCUGUUAGGCGAGUGCAUAGCUACUGCACAAGGUUUGUCCUUGGGUAACACUUUCAAAAACGGAAGGGAAAUCUUGUGAUCAAUUUUCAGCAAAAUGCUUUUUAAUUUAUGGUUAUCGUUUUCAGACGUUCACUGCAAUAUCGUUAUCUUCACCGAGACCUCUCUUUACAGCCGGUUUUAUCGUAUAUAUCUGUGAUUCUGUUGUAACAAAAAAUAAAAACCGAUUAAUCACUGCUUCUUAAUGUUUGUUAACUGACAAAGCAUAAGAUUUUAUUAAAAAGGUGUACUGUUACAGUUGUCAGGUUGAGUUUUUUUUUCUAGUUGAGUUUGACGAGUAUCGGAGCUUAAAGGGGCUCAGUCACGGUAUUUUGAGUUAUUU